rnacentral:lncRNA from 1 species
UAAAAUUAAUCUUCUACUACAUCAUACUGACCCCAUUAUACCAAAGUUUGUCUGCCAUAUGUUGCCUCUAUUAUCACUAAUCGGAAAAUACAAACAAAUUCAGUAAAAUCUUACCCAUGGAGACUGAAAGUAACGUGUACUCAAACCUUACCCCGCUCCCCGUUUAUAAAGUAGAUAGGUUGUUUCCAGACUCAAAAAGGACUUUGAGGUCAACAAAGCAUAUCAGAUAAAUAAAAAGGUAAUAAUAUUUUAUUCCAGAAUUUUAUGAUGCUCAAAGAAUAUUACAGUAACAAAAAGGUAGAAUUUUUUUCCUGCAAAGUGGAAAAGUUAGAUUCUUUAAUUCCUCCUUUUACAGCCUUUCAUCUAUUUUGCAUUUUCUCAUUGCAUCAAAAACUCCAUUUUUGAAGUUCCAAUACAGUAGAAAUAUCAAAUCAGGGUAACAAAAGAAAGGAAGCAAAAACAUGGAAAUCUUGAUCAAGAAAGUUCAUCUUUUAGUCUUUUUCCUUUCUUUAAACUUUUACAUGUCUCAAGAAGCACAAGCAGCAAAAAACUACUGUGGUAAUAUAAGAAUUGAAGAGCCAUUUGUUUCUCAAAACUCAACAAAUUCAUCUUUCUUGAAAAACAUGGUCUUUUGUAGAUCAGAGAUUUUAUACUAUAGAACUUCUGUUGGUCUUUUCCAAGUUUCAUCAAUUGAUUACAAAAAUAAAGUACUUACUGUUUCUCAUAGUUCUUGUUCUACUUCAUCUCAUUAUGUAUCUGCUAAAGAUUUAUCUUUUGGAUUUCCUCCUCCACCUAAGCCUAACUCAUUACUCUUAUUCAACUGCUUAAAUCCUAAGGGAAAUACAUCAAUUUUUCGAAAUUGUCCUUACUUGAAAAAUGAGAAAGGAAUUUCUUUGAAGUUGUGUAAAGAAGGUCUAAAACAAGGGUCUUUUUCUUGUUUGAUGGUUGAUGAUGUUCAAGAUUUGGGAAAUGAGUUUCAUCCUAAGGAUUUGAACUGUUCACAUUAUAGAAGAGUUUAUAAAAGCAAUUCUCAAGAUGGGAAUAGUGAGAAACUUGAGUUAGGGACAAGGAUAUCUUGGGAUAUUGAACAUGUACCAAAUCCUUGUGAUGAGUGUAGAAAACCUUAUGGUAAUUGUGGAGUUGGAUUGAGAUGCCUUUGCUAUGUAACUCAAUGUAGUAAGUUCUCUUAUCUCAUAACUCAGAAGCUUUUACACUAAAAGCUUUCUUUGUUUUCUCUUGUCAAAUCAUUGUCAUGGUUUGAGCCGUAGAAACAGCCUCUUGUAAAAAUAUAGGUAAGACUGUAUACAAUAGACCCAUGUGGUCCGGCCCUUCCUUAGACCUUGUGCAUAGCAGAAGCUUAGUGCACCGAUCAGUUCUUUCAUUGUCUUGAUUCUUAUUGUGGUGUUUUUUUUGUUUGCAGAGGUAGAGGUUUCUGCUGGUCUAAUUCCAAAACCUAGUGGUAUUGUGCUCUUCUCUUUGCUUUGCUUAAUUGUUGUGAUGGAUCUUCUUGAAGGGGUUUGAAUAUAAUUAAGCUCUUCCAUUUUAUGGAAAAAAACAAGAUGUAUUUAUUUUACUUUCAUUUUCAAAGAAUGAGAAUUUGUAUUGAAGAAUAUCUUUGGGGAUGUAUAUUGUACUAUAUGAUAUGAUGUUAUCAUCUUGUACUAAAAAGUGUGAAAGGGAGCGUUACGUAACUGGUAAAGUUGUUGUUACGUGAUCAGGAGGUCACGGGUUUGAGCCGUGGAAACAACCUCUUACAGAAAUGCAGGAUACUAUUGCGUACAAUAAACCCUUAUAAUAGUGUGGCUCUUUUUCGAUCCCGCGCAUAACGGGAGCUUAGUGCACUGGGCUAACCUUGUACUAAAAAGUGUGACGAAGAUUUGCUGGAUACUACUUUAUCAAUAUAUAUAUAUAUGUCUACUGAAAUUACUAGUGGUGUGUUGCCUUUUCCACUUAUUGUGUCUAAACUUUAUGAAUUGAGCAGGUUAUGGAACAUGUAGGGACAUUUACAGCCCUUUAGUGAAUGCAUUGUUGAAUUUAAGCUUUUCAUUAUGCUGUAAAGUCAUGUCAUUGUUUGCAAAAAGUUAAAUGAAUCCACAUUUUUUCUAGAAAUAUGCAUGUGGUAGGGAUCAAUUUUGCUUGUGAUUAUAGAAGAGAGUUGUCUUCUUGAGUGAGGUUGACAACUAGAGAAUUUGCUGAGAUAAAUACCAAAGGUUACAUUAGUUCAAAACAGUGGAAAUAUGAUGAAAUAUUCUUGUUUAGAAACUGGUUCUUUUAGGUUGAAUGACCAAGAGACUAUAAUUAUGUUUCAUAGUACUAGUAAUAGAAAGUUAAAAAAUGUAUGCAUUGACGGUGUAAAAUAUAUGAUAAAUUACUUAUAUGGGUAAAAUAUAUUGAUUAGUAGAAUGGUAACUACCCUGUGUAAUACGUUAAACUAGGCUAAUUGUGUAGAAAUUUUU